UUCAAAAAAUUUUAAUUUACAUCUGGCUCAGACGGGAUUUUCUCUAUUUCUCUUCCAUAUCUUCUUCUUCCCCACUGUCGCGAUUCCCCUAAAUCCCCACAAAAAAUCAACUUCUAUAUCAUUCCUCAUACAAAAACAAAAUGCCUAGAAGUCUCCCUCCCUCCCUCCUCCACCAAUGUUUCGCCACUCCCUCUGCCACGCUCUACCACUGUUUCGCCGGCUCUACUGUGUUUCGUCACCCUCCGCCACCCAAAAUAAAACCUCAAAUCCUA
rnacentral:lncRNA from 1 species